rnacentral:pre_miRNA from 2 species
UCUUGUGCAUGAGCAAAGAAAGUGGUUUCUUGAAACGGAAUCUACUCCUGGUGAAGAUGCUGUGAA